rnacentral:rRNA from 1 species
UACAGAGGGGGCAAGCGUUGUUCGGAAUUACUGGGCGUAAAGGGCGCGUAGGCGGCCUUCUAAGUCGAACGUGAAAUCCCCGGGCUCAACCCGGGAACUGCGUCCGAUACUGGAAGGCUUGGAUCCGGGAGAGGGAUGCGGAAUUCCAGGUGUAGCGGUGAAAUGCGUAGAUAUCUGGAGGAACACCGGUGGCGAAGGCGGCAUCCUGGACCGGUAUUGACGCUGAGGCGCGAAAGCCAGGGGAGCAAACGGG